rnacentral:rRNA from 1 species
GAUGAACGCUAGCGGCAGGCUUAAUACAUGCAAGUCGAACGAGGUGUAGCAAUACACCUAGUGGCGCACGGGUGCGUAACGCGUAUGCAACUUACCUCUUACAGGGGGAUAACUCGGGGAAACUCGGGCUAAUACCGCGUAAUAAUAGUGUUGGCAUCAGUACUAUUUAAAAGCUUCGGCGGUAAGAGAUGGGCAUGCGUGCCAUUAGCUAGUUGGGGAGGUAACGGCGCACCAAGGCGACGAUGGCUAGGGGGUCUGAGAGGACGAUCCCCCACACUGGUACUGAGAUACGGACCAGACUCCUACGGGAGGCAGCAGUAAGGAAUAUUGGGCAAUGGUCGGAAGACUGACCCAGCCAUGCCGCGUGCAGGAAGAAGGCGCUCAGCGUUGUAAACUGCUUUUGUCGGAGAAGAAAACCCCCUUGCGAGGGAGCCUGACGGUAUCCGACGAAUAAGCAUCGGCUAACUACGUGCCAGCCGCCGCAGUAA